GACGGGAGAGUGUGGCCGGUUGACGACGUGAAGAUUGCGCUGUCAGGUCACCGCCGAAGGAGCAACCGCCCCGGAAUCUCUCAGGCACCUGUACCGCAAGGCG
rnacentral:ncRNA from 1 species